rnacentral:rRNA from 1 species
AGCAGCCGCGGUAAUUCCAGCUCCAAUAGCGUAUAUUAAAGUUGUUGCAGUUAAAAAGCUCGUAGUUGAAUUUCGGGGUUAGUAGGCUGGUCGUGCCACAGGUAUGCACUGGUCUUACUGACUUCUCCUUUCUGAAGAACUGUAAUGCCAUUAAUUUGGUGUUGCAGGGAAACAGGACUGUUACUUUGAAAAAAUUAGAGUGUUUAAAGCAGGCUAACGCUUGAAUACAUUAGCAUGGAAUAAUGAAAUAGGACGUUCGAUCCUAUUUUGUUGGUUUCUAGGAUUGACGUAAUGAUUAAUAGGGAUAGUUGGGGGCAUUAGUAUUCAAUUGUCAGAGGUGAAAUUCUUGGAUUUAUUGAAGACUAACUACUGCGAAAGCAUUUGCCAAGGAUGUUUUCAUUAAUCAAGAACGAAAGUUAGGGGAUCGAAGACGAUCAGAUACCGUCGUAGUCUUAACCAUAAACUAUGCCGACUAGGGAUCGGAUGAUGUUAAUUUUUAAUGACUCAUUCGGCGUCC